UCCUACGGGAGGCAGCAGUAGGGAAUUUUCGGCAAUGGGCGAAAGCCUGACCGAGCAAUGCCGCGUGAAUGAAGAAAUUCUUCGGAAUGUAAAGUUCUGUUAUUGAGGACGAAAGAUAGUAUCAGGAAAUGGGUAUUAUUUGACGGUACUUGAUGAGAAAGCCCCGGCUAACUAUGUGCCAGCAGCCGCGGUAAUACAUAGGGGGCGAGCGUUAUCCGGAUUUAUUGGGCGUAAAGCGUGCGUAGGUGGCUAUUUAAGUCUGGCGUGAAAUGUCACAGCUUAACUGUGAAGGGUCGUUGGAAACUGGAUAGCUUGAAUCCAGAAGAGGUAAGUGGAAUUCCAUGUGUAGCGGUAAAAUGCUUAGAUAUAUGGAGGAACACCAGUGGCGAAGGCGGCUUACUGGUCUGGUAUUGACACUGAGGCACGAAAGCGUGGGUAGCAAACAGGAUUAGAUACCCUGGUAGUCCACGCCGUAAACGAUGAGCACUAAGUGUCGGACGAAAGUUCGGUGCUGAAGUUAACGCAUUAAGUGCUCCGCCUGGGGAGUACGGUCGCAAGACUGAAACUCAAAGGAAUUGACGGGGACUCGCACAAGCGGUGGAGCAUGUGGUUUAAUUCGACGCAACGCGAAAAACCUUACCAGGCCUUGACAUCCCUCUGCAAGCUCUAGAGAUAGAGACCUCCCUUCGGGGACGGAGGAGACAGGUGGUGCAUGGUUGUCGUCAGCUCGUGUCGUGAGAUGUUGGGUUAAGUCCCGCAACGAGCGCAACCCUUAUCAUUAGUUGCUAACAGUCAGAUGAGCACUCUAAUGAGACUGCCAGCGAUAAGUUGGAGGAAGGUGGGGAUGACGUCAAAUCAUCAUGCCCCUUAUGGCCUGGGCUACACACGUGCUACAAUGGCCGGUACAAAGAGGAGCAAUACCGUGAGGUGGAGCAAAUCUCAAAAAGCCGGUCUCAGUUCGGAUUGUAGUCUGCAACUCGACUACAUGAAGUUGGAAUCGCUAGUAAUCGCGAAUCAGCAUGUCGCGGUGAAUACGUUCUCGAGUCUUGUACACACCGCCCGUCACACCAUGAGAGUUUGUAAUACCCGAAGCCGGUGGCUUAACCGCAAGGAGAGAGCCGUCUAAGGUAGGACAGAUGAUUGGGGUGAAGUCGUAACAAGGUAUCCCUACGAGAACGUGGGGAUG
rnacentral:rRNA from 1 species